rnacentral:rRNA from 8 species
UGGAGCCGACCUUGAAAUACCACCCUUUAAUGUUUGAUGUUCUAACGUGGACCCGUGAUCCGGGUUGCGGACAGUGUCUGGUGGGUAGUUUGACUGGGGCGGUCUCCUCCUAAAGAGUAACGGAGGAGCACGAAGGUUGGCUAAUCCUGGUCGGACAUCAGGAGGUUAGUGCAAUGGCAUAAGCCAGCUUGACUGCGAGCGUGACGGCGCGAGCAGGUGCGAAAGCAGGUCAUAGUGAUCCGGUGGUUCUGAAUGGAAGGGCCAUCGCUCAACGGAUAAAAGGUACUCCGGGGAUAACAGGCUGAUACCGCCCAAGAGUUCAUAUCGACGGCGGUGUUUGGCACCUCGAUGUCGGCUCAUCACAUCCUGGGGCUGAAGUAGGUCCCAAGGGUAUGGCUGUUCGCCAUUUAAAGUGGUACGCGAGCUGGGUUUAGAACGUCGUGAGACAGUUCGGUCCCUAUCUGCCGUGGGCGCUGGAGAACUGAGGGGGGCUGCUCCUAGUACGAGAGGACCGGAGUGGACGCAUCACUGGUGUUCGGGUUGUCAUGCCAAUGGCACUGCCCGGUAGCUAAAUGCGGAAGAGAUAAGUGCUGAAAGCAUCUAAGCACGAAACUUGCCCCGAGAUGAGUUCUCCCUGAGACUUAGAGUCUCCUGAAGGAACGUUGAAGACGACGACGUUGAUAGGCCGGGUGUGUAAGCGCAGCGAUGCGUUGAGCUAACCGGUACUAAUGAACCGUGAGGCUUAACCUUACAACGCCGAAG